rnacentral:siRNA from 1 species
CUGAAAGACUGAGGGUAGU